UACGGGGGGAGCAAGCGUUGUUCGGAUUUACUGGGCGUAAAGGGCGGGUAGGCGGCCACCGCAAGUCAGUUGUGAAAUCUCCGGGCUUAACCCGGAAAGGUCAACUGAUACUGCGGGGCUAGAGUGCAGAAGGGGCAACUGGAAUUCUCGGUGUAGCGGUGAAAUGCGUAGAUAUCGAGAGGAACACCUGCGGCGAAGGCGGGUUGCUGGGCUGACACUGACGCUGAACUGCGAAAGCUAGGGGAGCGAACGGG
rnacentral:rRNA from 3 species